CCUACGGGACGCAGCAGUAAGGGAUAUUGGUCAAUGGGGGAAACCCUGAACCAGCAACGCCGCGUGAGGGAAGACGGUUUUCGGAUUGUAAACCUCUGUCCUCUGUGAAGAUGAUGACGGUACCUGACUAAGAAGCCCCGGCUAACUACGUGCCAGCAGCCGCGGUAAUACGUAGGGGGCAAGCGUUAUCCGGAUUUACUGGGUGUAAAGGGAGCGUAGACGGCUGUGCAAGUCUGAAGUGAAAGCCCAGGGCUCAACCCUGGGACUGCUUUGGAAACUGUGGAGCUAGAGUGCUGGAGAGGUAA
rnacentral:rRNA from 1 species